AAGAAGAAGAAGAAGAAAGAGGGGGUCGAGGCAAGGAGGCACAAUCUGGUCUCUGAAUCUAUGUCAUUGAGCAUGCGGGUUUUCAUUUUCGACCUUAAGCCGAUGCAUGUGAAUCUUCCAAAGAGAAUCUAUGGAAGAUUUGGACAAAGGGAGAGAGGGCAAGAUAGAGAGGGUGAGCGUGACUGUAUGAGAAGAGAAUGAAGAUGGAAGAGAAUAGAAAUAAAGAUAGCUUGAGUCAAGGGAGGAGGGAUGGAUAGAUUCUAAAAGAGUGAGGGUAAGGCUUGAGAAGAGAAUGUAGAUGGCAGAGAU
rnacentral:misc_RNA from 1 species